rnacentral:misc_RNA from 1 species
GAUGAAGAACGUAGCGAAAUGCGAUAAGUAAUGCGAAUUGCAGAAUUUCCGUGAGUCAUCGAAUCUUUGAACGCACAUUGCGCCCGUCAGUAUUCUGGCGGGCAUGCCUGUUCGAGCGUCAUUACGCCCCUCAAGUCCCCUGUGGACUUGGUGUUGGGGAUCGGCGAGGCUGGUUUUCCAGCACAGCCGUCCCUUAAAUUAAUUGGCGGUCUCGCCGUGGCCCUCCUCUGCGCAGUAGUAAAACACUCGCAACAGGAGCCCGGCGCGGUCCACUGCCGUAAAACCCCCCAACUUUUUAUAGUUGACCUCGAAUCAGGUAGGACUACCCGCUGAACUUAAGCAUAUCAAUAAGCGGAGGA